UAAUAAGUGUUUUAUAGCACUUUUUAAAUCCAUAUCCACCUUGUGUGCAAUGUCGGUCGAUCUUCUUCAUGGAGAUCGACCAAACAUCAACCUUUAUCUUUUAACUCUUUGUCUGAAAAAUAUUAUGAAUAAACAAUUCAAAAUA
rnacentral:misc_RNA from 1 species